AUUGAACGCUGGCGGCAGGCUUAACACAUGCAAGUCGAGCGAGCGGCGGACGGGUGAGUAAUGUCUGGGAAACUGCCUGAUGGAGGGGGAUAACUACUGGAAACGGUAGCUAAUACCGCAUACCAUCAGAUGUGCCCAGAUGGGAUUCGCUAGUAGGUGGGGUAAUGGCUCACCUAGGCGACGAUCCCUAGCUGGUCUGAGAGGGUGAACAGGAAAAAUGGAAAUGGGACAAGGUCCAGACUCCUACGGGAGGGAGCAGUGGGGAAUAUUGCACAAUGGGCGCAAGCCUGAUGCAGCCAUGCCGCGUGUGGGAAGAAGGCCUUCGGGUUGUAAAGCACUUUCAGCGAGGAGGCGUUACUCGCAGAAGAAGCACCGGCUAACUCCGUGCCAGCAGCCGCGGUAAUUC
rnacentral:rRNA from 1 species